AGAGUUUGAUCCUGGCUCAGGAUGAACGCUGGCGGCGUGCUUAACACAUGCAAGUCGAACGGAGUUGAUAAGCGGAAGUUUUCGGAUGGAAGCUUAUUAACUUAGUGGCGGACGGGUGAGUAACGCGUGGGUAACCUGCCUUAUACAGGGGGAUAACAGUUGGAAACGACUGCUAAUACCGCAUAAGCGCACAGUGCUGC
rnacentral:rRNA from 1 species